CGGCCGUUGUACACGAGAGGACACGCGGUUGCUGGAGUAACGGGACAUGGCUGGUCACCGCGGGCGCGAUGGGCCGAAGGGCCUGUUGCCUCGCUGGAUCUCUAAACUAAACUACAGGUGCUGGUCUACAGCUGGAAAAAAACCAAGCAAAGUGCUGGAGUAACUCAGUGAGUCAGGCAGCAACUCUGGAGAACAUGGAUGGGUGUGUGUUUUGACUCGAGAUCCAUGUUCUCCAGGGAUGCAGCCUGACUCACCGAGUUACUCCACCACUUUGUGUCCCUUUAAAAGGAUGUGAAGUGGAAAGAGGAUUUGACUGGAAGCUGAAAGGUGAGAGAGAAUGAAUUAUCAUUCCCGCAAGCAGCAAAGUUAAGUCGUGCAUGUGUGUGUCUGCGUGUGUGUGUGUCUGCGUGUGUGUGUGUCUGCGUGCGUGUGUGUGUGUGUGUGCGUGUGUGUGUGUCUGCGUGUGUGUGUGUCUGUGUGUGUGUGUGUGUGUGUGUGUGUGUGUGUGUGUGUGCGUGUGUGUGUGUCUGCGUGUGUGUGUGUGUGUGUGUCUGUGUCUGACUGUGUGUGUCUGACUGUGUGUCUGCAUGUGUGUCUGUAUGCCUGUGUGUGUCUUUGUGAGAAUGUGUGUCUGCAUGUGUGUGUCGGUCUGUCUGUGUGUGUCUGUGUCUGACUGUGUGUGUCUGUGUGUGUCUGCAUGUGAGAGUGUGUGUCUGCGUGUGAGUGUCUGCAUGUGUGUGUUAAUCUGUCUGAGUGUUAGUGUCUGUGUCUGUCUGUCUGUGUGUCUGUCUGUGUGUGUCUGUCUGUGUGUGUGUGUCUGUGCAAGAGUGUGUGUGUCUGCGCGUCGUAGUCACAGAGUGAUACAGCAUGGAAUCAGGCCCUUCGGCCCAACUUACUGCCCACACCGGCCAACAUGUCCCACCCACACUAGUCCCACCUGCCCGCGUUUGCUCCAUAUCCCUCCAAACCUGUCCUAUCCAUGUACCUGUCUAACUGCUUGUUAAACGUUGCGAUAGUCCCAGCCUCAAAUACCACCCAUGGUGUGAAACGGUUACCCCUCAGAUUCCCAUUAAAUCUUUUCCCCUUCACCUUAAACCUGUGUCCUCUGGUCCUCGAUUCCCCUACUCUGGGCAAGGAACUCCGUGCGUCUACCCGAUCUAUUCCUCUCAUGAUUUUGCACACCUUGAUAAGAUCAGCGUUGAUCCUCCUGCGCUCCAGGGAAUAGAGUCCCAGCCUACUCAACCUCUCCCUAUAGCUCAGGCCCUCUCGUCCUGGCAACAUCCUCAUGUGUGCGUGUGUGUGUGUGUUGCAUUCGAAACUACACAAAGCAUUUAUUGAGGUCACCGAUGUAAUCUUGUCCUCUGUACAAUGACUAAAGCCAGCAGCCUAUUUUCAUUUGUCUACAAGUUUCCACACUGACUCAUUUAAUAUCCGGGAUCGGCCGUUAGCCUUCUCUGGCUAUCCUCUAACGCACUGUUGCACAAAGCCAGCGAGUGUGAAGGGUUUAAAAAAAAAAAAGCCAUUCCCAUUUUUGAUUUUGUCAAACAAAGCACAAACUUGAGGCUCCAAUCAUCUUCAGUGCAAAUAAGAAUGUAAUAUUUAUCAAGCCAUUGUCAUAUAAACACCACGCUGCGGGCUAUAGAGAAGGUGAACUUGUAUGUGUGCAGGAAUGGAACUGCGGACACUGCUUUACAGGCACAAAAUGCUGGAUUACUGCAGCUUUUUGUGUCUAUCUUCAUAGAAGAUGAGCUCCCUGACCUUGGUGAUUACAUAGGUGGCCAUCUCGUAGACAUCUCUUCCAAGCACCAAAUAAUCCCAAGAAGACACUUUGAGGAUCACAUUGUAGUGUUGCUUGUUCCAUAGAACAUAGUUGCAGGAGGAGGCCAUUUGGCCCUUCGAGGUCCUCCCAUGCUAUUUCCGUAUAUCUCUGGGUAGAAAGAGGUAUAUAGUCCCAGAUGGAAUAGCGUCAUGCAGUGAAAUCAGGCCCUUCACCCCGACUUGCCCACACCGACCAACAUGCCCCAUCUACACUAGUCCCACCUGCCUGCGUUUGACCCAUAUCCUUCUAAACCCAUCUCAUCCAUGUCCCCGAUAGACACAAAUCGCUGGAGUAACUCAGCGGGUCAGGCGGCAUCUCUGGAGAGAAGGAGUGGGCGACGUUUCGGGUAGGGACCCUCCUUCAGACCGAGAGUCAGGAGAGAGGGAGUCUCUCGCCCCUUGGAAGGGUAAGGUGUGAAAACAAGCGAUCCUAGAUGUAGGACAGGUAGGACAAGGGCUUUGAGACGCAGUGACCUGAUCAAAGCGAGGUUUCAUCGCGACGGGGCAACGAAAGGUUUAAUGAGAGAAUGCUGGGGAGUGAAAACUCUAACAUUUGUAACAUCACGACUUCUGAGAUCCUUUAAUAUGUUCUGUUCCCAUUCACUUUUGGACAAAGCAAGGAUAUUUUUCAUAGACUACAAGCUGUUUAUUGCGCGACUGCUAACGUUAGGGGGGGAAAGGUGUUUUAUAGCUGACAUAAUACUUUGUUUGGGAAUUUAGACGAGGUAUAUCUAUAAUGUACAUCAAUGUAUUGUAAUAAAGCAUAUCAAAAUUAUUAUGAAAACUAUUGAAACUAACCAGAAAUUAAAAAAAAUGAAUGUAAAACCAAAA